rnacentral:rRNA from 1 species
AUUGAACGCUGGCGGCAGGCUUAACACAUGCAAGUCGAGCGGGGUGAUGGUGCUUGCACUAUCACUUAGCGGCGGACGGGUGAGUAAUGCUUAGGAAUCUGCCUAUUAGUGGGGGACAACAUCUCGAAAGGGAUGCUAAUACCGCAUGCGUCCUACGGGAGAAAGCAGGGGAUCACUUGUGACCUUGCGCUAAUAGAUGAGCCUAAGUCGGGUUAGCUAGUUGGUGGGGUAAAGGCCUACCAAGGCGACGAUCUGUAGCGGGUCUGAGAGGAUGAUCCGCCACACUGGGACUGGGACACGGCCCAGACUCCUACGGGAGGCAGCAGUGGGGAAUAUUGGACAAUGGGGGGAACCCUGAUCCAGCCAUGCCGCGUGUGUGAAGAAGGCCUUAUGGUUGUAAAGCACUUUAAGCGAGGAGGAGGCUCUUUUGGUUAAUACCCAAGAUGAGUGGACGUUACUCGCAGAAUAAGCACCGGCUAACUCUGUGCCAGCCGCCGCGGUAA